ACUCCUACGGGAGGCAGCAGUGAGGAAUAUUGGUCAAUGGGCGAGAGCCUGAACCAGCCAAAUCGCGUGAAGGAUGAAGGUAUUAUGUAUUGUAAACUUCUUUUAUCGGGGAAUAAAGUGCGCCACGAGUGGUGUUUUGUAUGUACCCGAGGAAUAAGGAUCGGCUAAUUCCGUGCCAGCAGCCGCGGUAAU
rnacentral:rRNA from 1 species